rnacentral:rRNA from 1 species
UACAGAGGGGGCAAGCGUUAUUCGGAAUUAUUGGGCGUAAAGGGCGCGUAGGCGGCUUGGCAAAGUGGAUGGUGAAAUCCCUCGGCUUAACCGAGGAACUGCCGUCCAAACUGCUUUGCUUGAGACCGGGAGAGGUGAGUGGAAUUCCCAGUGUAGGCAGGUGAAAUUCGUAGAUAUUGGGAAGAACACCGGUGGCGAAGGCGGCGCUCUGGACCGAGACUGACGCUGAGGCGCGAAAAGCGUGGGGGAGCAAACAAGGAUUAGAAACCCU